rnacentral:rRNA from 1 species
GUUGUGGUUGAGUGGAGGAGCUUGACUGUUUACGCAAGUAAGCGGUUCAGCCCCCCACAAUAUCUUGGAGUGAAUUUUAAUUAAUUCAUUCCUAGUAAACCUUGAUGAAAUAUUAACGCUUAAAAUUGGUCUUACGACCAAAUUCUUUUUGCAUGGGAUUUUAGAAUACGAGAGGCGCCGUAAAAAGUGCUUCUAAUGACAUUUGAGGAAGAAAGAGGUGGUUAAUACUAGGACGUCAGAGGUGAAAUUCUUGGAUUGUCCUAUGAUUAACUGAUGCGAAGGCGUUCUACAAUUGCUUUCCUGUCAAUCAAGAACGAAAGUAAGGGGAUCGAAGACGAUCAGAUACCGUCGUAGUCUUUACAGUAAAUUCUGCCGACAAAGGAAAUGGAAACGACAUAGAAUGGUGGGGAAACUCGCCAUUUAAUAUCCUUCCAUUUUCUCCCACGAAAGUUCAAGUCUUUGGGUUCUGGGGGGAGUAUGUUCGCAAGGCCGAAACUUAAAGGAAUUGACGGAAGGGCACCACCAGGCGUGGAGCCUGCGGCUUAAUUUGACCCAACACGGGAAAACUUACCAGGUCCAGACAGCGUGAGGAUUGACAGAUUGAAAGCUCUUUCAUGAUUCGUUGGGUGGUGCUGCAUGGCCGUUCUUAGUUGGUGGUGCGAGCUGUCUGGUUGAUUCCGUUAACGAACGAGACCUUUGUCAGAUAAUAGAAGGACUUGGAUAUUGCAUCAAGGCAGCGUCGGCGUAUGUAGCCAUCCUUCGGGACCCAUUUACUCACUGGCGUUGUUGCUUUUCCAAGUCAAAUCUUCUUUCUGAGACUAAUGCAGAAAAUGCAUUGGAAGUUGGAGGCAAAAACAGGUCUGUGAUGCCCUUCGAUGUUCUGGGCUGCACGCGCGCUACAAUGAUAGAGUCAACGAGUUUUCUCCUUGCUCGAAAGGGCUGGGUAAUCUUAUGAAACUCUAUCGUAACUAGGAUCGCUGAUUGAAACUAUUCGGCGUGAAUCAGGAAUGCCUUGUAAUUACGAGUCAUCAGCUCGUAGUGAAUACGUCCCUGCCCUUUGUACACACCGCCCGUCGCUCCUACCAAUUGGUGUCAACGGUGAAAUGAUCGGAGUCGACUCUUUUCUGGGGUCGAACCUGGUGGGAGAUGGCAAAGUUCUUUAAAUCUUUGGCACUAGAGGAAGGAGAAGUCGUAACAAGGUU